UACGAGGGGUCCAAGCGUUGUUCGGAAUCAUUGGGCGUAAAGCGGGUGUAGGUGGCUUUGUAAGUCAGGGGUGAAAUCCUGGAGCUCAACUCCAGAACUGCCUUUGAUACUGGAGAGCUAGAGUCCGGAAGAGGUGAGUGGAACUGCGAGUGUAGAGGUGAAAUUCGUAGAUAUUCGCAAGAACACCAGUGGCGAAGGCGGCUCACUGGUCCGGUACUGACGCUGAGGUGCGAAAGCGUGGGGAGCAAACAGG
rnacentral:rRNA from 1 species